rnacentral:rRNA from 1 species
CCUACGGGUGGCAGCAGUGAGGAAUAUUGGUCAAUGGACGCAAGUCUGAACCAGCCAUGCCGCGUGCAUGAAGACGGCUCUAUGAGUUGUAAACUGCUUUUGUACGAGGGUAAACGCAGAUACGCGUAUCUGUCUGAAAGGAUCGUACGAAUAAGGAUCGGCUAACUCCGUGCCAGCAGCCGCGGUAAUACGGAGGAUUCAAGCGUUAUCCGGAUUUAUUGGGUUUAAAGGGUGCGUAGGCGGUCGGAUAAGUUAGAGGUGAAAUCCCGAGGCUCAACUUCGGAAUUGCCUCUGAUACUGUUCGGCUAGAGAGUAGUUGCGGUAGGCGGAAUGUAUGGUGUAGCGGUGAAAUGCUUAGAGAUCAUACAGAACACCGAUUGCGAAGGCAGCUUACCAGGCUACUUCUGACGUUGAGGCACGAAAGCGUGGGGAGCGAACAGGAUUAGAUACCCGUGUAGUC